UUGCUUCUGCAGCACAUAUACCUAAAACUGGAACGGUACAGAGAAGAUUAGCAUGGCCACCUGUGCAAGGAUGGUUCACAAAUAAGUGA
rnacentral:snRNA from 1 species